rnacentral:misc_RNA from 1 species
UCUCCGUAGGUGAACCUGCGGAGGGAUCAUUACUGAAUUAUCGCCGCUCCGGGUAGACCUCCCACCCAGGGUGUUUAAUACUGUGUUGCUUAACCGGGCCGCCGUGCACUGCGCAUCCGCCGGCUCCGGGUGGCGCGCGCCUGCCAGAGUCUCCGCAAACUCUGAAUUUCAGUGUCGUCUGAGUUAUAUAUAAUAGUUAAAACUUUCAACAACGGAUCUCUUGGUUCUG